rnacentral:lncRNA from 13 species
AUUUGUUAAGAAGAGCCCCCAGACGGUGACGCUACUGAACGACUGGCCGGUCGGCCCAAAGCAUCCCCCUCAUACUCCCCAUACAGAAAGACUCUCUACCCGCCAUGCUACAGUGCGGCGUGCUGCGGUGCACUGUGCCGUGCCGUGCCGUGCUGUGCCGCGUUACGGUACGGUUUGCCGUGCCAUCCUCAGCCGAGUAGCGUAGUUAGUUGUUUCUUUUCUUUAUUCCUUUGUCGGAAAGUUGGCGGCAAGUCUCGUUUUUAAGAGGCGGCAGAGAAGGUCGGGCGAAUGGCGAGCGGCGAGGCGCGGCAAGGAGAGGAUGAAGGCAAAAGGGAAACGGCAGCCGGUUAGCGGGGGUUGCGAGGGGGAUCGGAGGAAGCAGGAUGGUGGCCUGGGUAGAGACAAGAGGGGAAUCGGAGAAAGGGGGAGCUCCGCGUGAUGCGCUGUUCGAUGAUGCGUCUUGUGCCGCCACCAAGAACUCAAUCGCUGCUCUCUUUCUCUCUAACUUUGCCUAACUGCUUUGAUCUCGCCAGUGAUCAGCUGUGCAUCAGAUAAAGCGAAAAGAACCAAAGCUGAUUAUAUUCAAGCAGAAUGAGUCACAAUAACGUCAAAAUGAUAUCAAAAUGAAUCGUGAGUGAUUGAAAAAUUACUUGUAAUCAUUUUGCAAUUUUUUUGACAUUGUGACGACUCCUUAUUCUAAUUUUUUUGAUGUAACGAUUCCUUACUCUGCUUGAGAUAAUUCAGAUGCGUUCAAUUUUAUAGCAUUUUUAAUCUUAAGGUAAACAAAUAUAAAUCUCAGAUGUAUCGGAAAUUGAACUCAAUAUUACGUCAAUUUUAAUUAUCCAAUUGUAUAAAAGGAGAAGCAAUAUAGCUGAAUGUUGAAACAUCUGAAUGACUUAUUAGAGAAAUUCAGGGAUAAAAAUUGUCACGCGGAUUGGAAUGUUAUUGAUUGGCCGAUUGAUCGAUUGAUCGACGACCGGCUGACCAUUGCAAAUGUGCGCGAUCACGUCAAUUAGACGGUAAUGGCGUCAAAAGGGUGAGGUAAAUAUUUAUCACGAGAGAGACGAUUUGAGAAAGAGCGGGAAGAGGCCGUGAGAUGCACGGAGGUCUCCGAGACGCGCUGAUCAGGAUACGGAGAAGGUUAUAAUACAGUUUUGCCUCGAGCUAACGCGGCGAGAGCAACUCGCUGGCCAACCAGCGCCGAUCGGUUUUGCUUGGACUCUCUCAGUUUGUUGGAUGAUACUAGAGGGAAAAAGGAAGAGAGAAUGAGAGGAUAGAAGACGGAGGAAGACUACGACAGAGAGACCGAGGCGGAGGAAUGAACGAACGGUUGGUAGAGCCUUGGUCGUGUUAUGGCGCGGGGAAAAGGAGGAAACGGCCGGUGUGUUUGAUCUCAGCCGCGGGCGCCGACAAAGCUUUCGUCCUCUCUCCUACAACGGCGGACCGUCCCUUGGGCGUGCGCGUAUAAGAACGGUAUCUAUGUGUUAACCGAACAGAAAGAUGAAAAGAGAGAAAUAGAUAAAUAGAGAGAGAGAGAGAGAGAAGGUGGGAGAGAGAGAGGAAGGUUGAACGAACGAGCAAGAGCGAGAAAAACGCAAAGCGGAAAGGAAGGAGAAAGAAUGAGCGGCGCGGCAAAAGACCGCGCGAAGAACGAGAAGGAUGGAAGGACUGAGGUGGUUAAAGACGAAAGAGAGAGAGAUGAGGAUGAAAAGGAAGAUCACGAGCAGUUACCUUAGCGGUAAAGAGGGAUGGAGGAAAGAAGAGAGGAAAGGGACAUGAGGAAAGAAGGAAAGAAGAGAGGAAAGGGGCAUCUGUUCCACGAUUCAUCGUGUUGUUGCUCUCGCUCUAGCAUGGCUCUCCACUAUGCUACUCCUUUGUGACGGUGGUAUCUACUCACGCAUACUCACGCAUACACGCGUGCCCACCUUAUAGAGUUUAGAUUUGUUAUUAAUAAAUGCUCUCCAUAGUCAGCAU